CGGGACGGGUGGAAGUAAGUGUUGGUAACGGAAGCGCCGAUGGAGGGGGAUAACUACUGGAAACGGUAGCUAAUACCGCAUAACGUCGCAAGACCAAAGAGGGGGACCUUCGGGCCUCUUGCCAUCGGAUGUGCCCAGAUGGGAUUAGCUAGUAGGUGGGGUAACGGCUCACCUAGGCGACGAUCCCUAGCUGGUCUGAGAGGAUGACCAGCCACACUGGAACUGAGACACGGUCCAG
rnacentral:rRNA from 1 species